rnacentral:rRNA from 1 species
GUGCCAGCAGCCGCGGUAAUACGUAGGUGGCAAGCGUUGUCCGGAUUUACUGGGCGUAAAGGGCGUGCAGGCGGUUUGUUAAGUGCAGGGUGAAAGCUCCCGGCUCAACUGGGAGAGGUCCUUGCAUACUGGCAAACUCGAGGGAGGCAGAGGAAAGUGGAAUUCCCGGUGUAGUGGUGAUAUGCGUAGAUAUCGGGAGGAACACCUGUGGCGAAGGCGGCUUUCUGGGCCUUACCUGACGCUGAGACGCGAAAGCGUGGGGAGCGAACCGGAUUAGAUACCCGGGUAGUCC